UACGUAGGGGGCAAGCGUUGUCCGGAAUCAUUGGGCGUAAAGCGCGUGUAGGCGGUCCGGUAAGUCCGCUGUGAAAGUCGGGGGCUCAACCCUCGGAUGCCGGUGGAUACUGUCGGGCUUGAGUACGGAAGAGGCGAGUGGAAUUCCGUGGUGUAGCGGUGAAAUGCGCAGAUAUCAGGAGGAACACCAAUUGCGAAGGCAGCUCGCUGGGACGUUAACUGACGCUGAGACGCGAAAGCGUGGGAGCAAA
rnacentral:rRNA from 1 species